CUCCCCGCCGCCGCUCUGCUCACUAAGAGGCACCCCCAGCCCACCGCCGCCUCCUGCCGUGCCCUCGCUGUCGCCGCCUCUCGCCACCUCCGCUGGCGCGAAGCCCGCGCCCCCAUCGCCACCUGCCACCGCGCAGUCACCCCCGCCCUCGCCCUUGCCUCCGUCGUCACCUCCCGACGCGUCCUCACCCCGCGCCCCGUCGCCGCCUCCCUCCGCACAGUUGCCCUCGCCGUCGGCCCCGUCGUCGCCUCCCGCGCGCCGUCGCUGUUGUCCCCAUCGCCGCCUCCCGUCGCGCCCAACGUCGCCGCCAAGUCCGUCGCCGCCUCCCUUGCGAAGGGGCCGGGUGUCUAGGUCGCCGUUGACCUCCCCCCCCUCCCCCCCCCCCCCCCCCCCCCCCCACCCUCCGCCUGCGGCCCACGUCGCCUCCUCCACCAGCGCGCUCGCCUCUCGGCUCCAACAACGUCGCCACCAUUGCCACGGAAAAAUCAUUGAAGCCACCAAUGCUCUGCCUCAGUCCACAAACAUAUAGCAGUUAAAACUGACGUCAAGAUCACAGUAACGAGAUAAUUCAGUUCACAAGCAUAUCUAUGAUGAAAUAAGUAGCCAGAGAACACAACUAUUGAGUACCACACAAUGGUGGAGGUUCUGCAUCCAUUUGGAUACACAGGCGACACGGAGUUGCACUACCUCCUUCCCGAUCCAGGGAUUGAUGUGUCAGCUGGGUUAGUCAAGAUCAAUGGAGCAGAUGUAAAGCUAAUGGUGAAUGCUCAUGCUAAAGCAGGGAUUCUUUAGUGAACAAAUUGGAAUCUCCGGACUUAUGGCGUCUCCCAGAGGAUUCUUAAAUGCUUAGGUUGUGGUUUCAUUUUUGAGAACCGAGAUUUGUUUACCAAUUGAAGACUUGGGCUGUGUUUCUUCAUUUUCGUUUUUGUUAGAUGAGACUGGUAGGAAAUUUGUUUAUUAUUAAGUUGCUUGUUAAGUUGAGUGAUUUGUUUGUUCAAUGGGUACAAGGCUUACAACAUUUCACUUCAGCUGUACAUUAUGAUCACUGAGAUGCUUUUGUA